rnacentral:rRNA from 1 species
AACGAACGCUGGCGGCGUGCCUAACACAUGCAAGUCGAACGAGAAAGGGGCUUCGGCUCCGAGUAAAGUGGCGCACGGGUGAGUAACACGUAGGUAACCUGCCUCUAAGAUUGGGAUAACCUGUCGAAAGACGAGCUAAUACCGAAUAAGACCAUGGCUUCCUCGGAAGCAGGGGUCAAAGGUAGCCUCUACUUGUAAGCUAUCACUUAGAGAUGGGCCUGCGUACCAUUAGCAGUUGGUGGGGUAACGGCCUACCAAGGCAAAGAUGGUUAGCUGGUCUGAGAGGAUGAUCAGCCACACUGGAACUGAGACACGGUCCAGACUCCUACGGGAGGCAGCAGUGGGGAAUAUUGCGCAAUGGGCGAAAGCCUGACGCAGCAACGCCGCGUGAGUGAUGAAGGCCUUCGGUCGUAAG